CGCCCCGGCCGCGGCCCGUUGGGCCUCCCCCUGCUCCCAGCCGCCAGUCCCCCCGAGUGAAGGACGCGGUCCUUAUGACCCAGGUAGCUGUGCCCCCGUCUCCCGUGUCUUCAGGUGGACUCUGCUGCUAACAUCCAGGCUGGAAUCCCGCCUCGGCCGGAUGAUUCUCUUCCUUUGUGAAAGGGCAGCCCCGCCGCACGGCUGCCCUGGGAGGUCCUUGCACUCAAGCAGGCUGGACACCGGGUGCACGCUGUCCUGCACGGAGCCUGCUCCUCGCCCGUGCAGGAGUCCGUGCCCUCUCUUCUUACCCCGUGGGAUCCGGCUGGUGGGAGGCGUCGCGCCCUGACCUGGCCUCUGGCGCGCUGGGCCGCCGGGCCCUCCCCGACACCGUGCCAAAGCAAUAAAGGUUUUCAGUCGCUGUCGA